CCUACGGGAGGCAGCAGUGGGGAAUAUUGGACAAUGGGGGGAACCCUGAUCCAGCCAUGCCGCGUGUGUGAAGAAGGCCCUCGGGUUGUAAAGCACUUUCAGUGAGGAAGAACGCCUGGUGGUUAAUACCCAUCAGGAAAGACAUCACUCACAGAAGAAGCACCGGCUAACUCCGUGCCAGCAGCCGCGGUAAUACGGAGGGUGCGAGCGUUAAUCGGAAUUACUGGGCGUAAAGCGCGCGUAGGUGGCUUGAUAAGCCGGUUGUGAAAGCCCCGGGCUCAACCUGGGAACGGCAUCCGGAACUGUCAAGCUAGAGUGCAGGAGAGGAAGGUAGAAUUCCCGGUGUAGCGGUGAAAUGCGUAGAGAUCGGGAGGAAUACCAGUGGCGAAGGCAGCCUUCUGGACUGACACUGACACUGAGGUGCGAAAGCGUGGGUAGCAAACAGGAUUAGAUACCCUGGUAGUC
rnacentral:rRNA from 1 species